GGCACGCGCGCUCGGCGCCGCGCUCGUGGGCGCGCGGGCCCGCCGCGUGGCGCCCGCGCGCGCCGUCGCCGAGGUGUACAUCCGCAAGCUGGCGGACACGCAGCAGAGCGUCGAGCUGCGGGUCGCGGUGAUGGGGGCGAACGAGGCGGGCAAGUCGACGCUCAUAGGCGUUCUCACUCAAGGUGAACUCGAUAACGGUAGAGGGAGCGCUCGCCUGAACAUGUUCAGGCAUUUGCACGAAAUGAAAAGUGGUAGGACGUCCUCGCUCAGCCACG